AUCUAGUUGACGAGUCCCAAAUAGGACGAAAUGCGCUUUUAUCCUGGAU
rnacentral:hammerhead_ribozyme from 1 species